rnacentral:rRNA from 1 species
ACGAAGGGGGCUAGCGUUGCUCGGAAUGACUGGGCGUAAAGGGCGCGUAGGCGGAUAACAUAGUCAGACGUGAAAGUCCUGGGCUCAACCUGGGAACUGCGUUUGAUACGUGUAAUCUAGAGUGAGGAAGAGGGUUGUGGAAUUUCCAGUGUAGAGGUGAAAUUCGUAGAUAUUGGAAAGAACACCGGUGGCGAAGGCGGCAACCUGGUCCUUGACUGACGCUGAGGCGCGAAAGCGUGGGGAGCAAACAGGAUUAGAUACCCUGGUAGUCCACGCUGUAAACGAUGUGUGCUGGAUGUUGGGGCGCUUAGCGCUUCAGUGUCGUAGCUAACGCGGUAAGCACACCGCCUGGGGAGUACGGCCGCAAGGUUG